GACGAACGCUGGCGGCGUGCUUAACACAUGCAAGUCGAACGGAGAAGCAGAGCUUGCUCUGUGGAUCAGUGGCGAACGGGUGAGUAACACGUGAGUAACCUGCCCUUGACUCUGGGAUAAGCGUUGGAAACGACGUCUAAUACUGGAUACGAAGACCGAAGGCAUCUUCUGGUCGUGGAAAGAAUUUUGGUCAAGGAUGGACUCGCGGCCUAUCAGCUUGUUGGUGAGGUAAUGGCUCACCAAGGCGACGACGGGUAGCCGGCCUGAGAGGGUGACCGGCCACACUGGGACUGAGACACGGCCCAGACUCCUACCGUACGCAGCAGUGGGGAGUAUUGCACAAUGGCCGCAAGCCUGAUGCAGCAACGCCGCGUGCGGGAUGACGUCCUUCUGGUUGUAAACCUCUUUUAGUAUGGAAGAAGCGAAAGUGACGGUACCUGCAGAAAAAGCACCGGCUAACUACGUG
rnacentral:rRNA from 1 species